AAAGCACAAGAUCAAAGCAAUAAAUCCACCUCUCAGUAACCAAUUCUGUUAAUGUAUUACCAUCUCCCCUGUCCGUUACCCUUUAUUGUCUUAAAAAAAAACAGAAACCCUAAAGUAUCUACAGAUAUCAAUAUUCCACUUUUCCUCUUGUAACUGUUAAAAGAGAAGCUCAACGCUACUUUAAAGAACGCAGUUUUGGAUGUUUGCCUCACCGUCCAAGCUUCAUACACAAUGCUGUGCAGAGGUACCUACGGCGGCAGCACCUCUCCAGGUUAUCGUCCUCGAUGCCCCAGUAGAGCAGUUCCUCUUGGAAGGAGAGGGCGCACAUUUCCCUCAAAAGCCUCAGCUUGCCGGCUCUCAGGAAAGUUAGGAUGGUCCGAAAGGCGCCUGGGUUGCGGUCGAAGAAGAACUCGUUGCAGGUCACGUCGUAAUCGUCGCAAAUCUUCAUGAUUUCAUCGAAGUUGUGGCAGGACCUGAGCUGUCCCAGGCGCGUUAAAGGGAAGCCGUCCAGGGUGGUCCAGGGCAAGACGUAUUUGAUGCCCCCGACAUUAAUUAUCACGUGGUGCUUGCGAUCCUGUGGGCACGGGUUGCUGUACAGAUCUUGCUGCGGGUCAACCAAAUGGGCUGAUUUGUAAAAUGCCCCUUUGACAGGCUGGGUCUCCUUGCUUGGCUGGUUGAGGGAGGUUUCUGAGGCACAGCUCAGAGCACUGUAAUCAUAGUCAGAGCUGUCUCCUGCUAACAUAGCCAUCCUGAGCCCUGACUCUUCAUAUCACUCCUGCCCCAUCCCUGUGAAUAAAUAAUACAGCAAACAUCAGAGAGAGAGAGAGUCUGAAAAUAC